AAGUCGUAACAAGGUUUCCGUAGGUGAACCUGCGGAAGGAUCAUUAAUAAAUAAAAGGGGUUGGGGCAUUCUUUGAUCCCCCAACCCCUAAACCUUUUUGGUCAUCUCCUUUUGUGCACUUUUAUCGAACCCCAUCUAUGCUUUUGGCCAGACCUUCUUUGUACGCAAGGGGGGUUUGCCAAAGGUUUACCCUCAACCAUAGCCUGAUUGUUUGACUGAACAUACAAUAAUAAAAUCAAAUACAACUUUCAACAACGGAUCUCUUGGCUCUC
rnacentral:misc_RNA from 1 species